UCUUUGCUAGUAUAUCGGUUAGUACACGCGCCUGUCAUGUUACAUGGUGCGCGCGAAAGCUGGGUUCGACUCCCAGGCAGAGAG
rnacentral:tRNA from 1 species